rnacentral:rRNA from 1 species
UACAGAGGCCUCGAGCGUUAGGCGGAAUCACUGGGCUUAAAGCGUGUGUAGGUGGAUGCCUAAGUGCCUUGUGAAAUCCCACGGCUUAACCGUGGAAUUGCUGGGCAUACUGGGUGUCUUGAGCCACUCAGGGGCUACCGGAACAAAUGGUGGAGCGGUGAAAUGCGUAGAUAUCAUUUGGAACACCAAUGGUGAAAACAGGUAGCUGGGGGUGUGCUGACACUGAGACACGAAAGCCAGGGGAGCAAACGGG